UACGUAGGUGGCAAGCGUUUGUCCGGAUUUAUUGGGUUUAAAGGGUGCGUAGGCGGUCUAUUAAGUCAGUGGUGAAAUAUGGCAGCUUAACUGUCAGGGUGCCAUUGAUACUGAUGGACUUGAGUGAAGUCGAGGUUGGCGGAAUUGACGGUGUAGCGGUGAAAUGCUUAGAUAUCGUCUGGAACGCCGAAGGUGAAAACAGCUCGCUGGGGCUGCGCUGACGCUGAGACACGAAAGCCAGGGGAGCGAACGGG
rnacentral:rRNA from 1 species